AUGGUAUUCACACCUCAUAUCCUUGGACUUCUGCUUUUCUGGAUUUCAGCCUCCACAGGUGACAUCCUGCUGACCCAGUCUCCAGCCACCCUGUCUGUGACUCCAGGAGAAACAGUCAGUCUUUCCUGUAGGGCCAGCCAGAGUAUUUACAAGAACCUACACUGGUAUCAACAGAAAUCACAUCGGUCUCCAAGGCUUCUCAUCAAGUAUGCUUCUGAUUCCAUCUCUGGGAUCCCCUCCAGGUUCACUGGCAGUGGAUCAGGGACAGAUUACACUCUCAGUAUCAACAGUGUGAAGCCCGAAGAUGAAGGAAUAUAUUACUGUCUUCAAGGUUACAGCACACCUUC